GCCGGGAUGGUGGAAUUGGUAGACACGCCGGACUUAAAGAUUUGAGUGCGCGAAUGGAAACGUUCGCAGUAGAACCGCUUAAAUUCGGGGAAACCUUAUCAAGUGUAACUUGAUUGGCAAUCCCGAGCCAAGCCCGUUAGAGAAAUCUGACGUGGAAGGUGUAGAGACUUAACAGGCGGCACCUACUUCCUUGCCAUUGGCAGGAUAUGGUGAAGAGAAAGUCCAGACCACAAAUCAUUGCAAUUGGCAAUGAGCAGCGAAAGCUGUAGUUGGUACGAAAAUCCUGUGGGCCUCAAGCCCGUGCGGGUUCGACUCCCGCUCCUGGUACCA
rnacentral:tRNA from 1 species